rnacentral:rRNA from 1 species
CAGCCGCCGCGGUAAUACGAAGGGGGCUAGCGUUGUCCGGAUUUACUGGGCGUAAAAGGCGCGUAGGCGGAUUUGUAAGUCAGGGGUGAAAUCCCGAGGCUCAACCUCGGAACUGCCUUUGAUACUGUGGAUCUUGAGUCCGGGAGAGGUGGGUGGAACUGCGAGUGUAGAGGUGAAAUUCGUAGAUAUUCGCAAGAACACCAGUGGCGAAGGCGGCUCACUGGCCCGGAACUGACGCUGAGGCGCGAAAGCGUGGGGAGCAAACAGGAUUAGAUACCCCAGUAGUCCCUGUCUCUUAUAC